CUGCCCUCCAGCACGGCUGGGUGUUGGGCGCUGUCCCCCCGGGGACACGCCCCAAAAGCAGUGGCGGCGCCGCGUCGGGUCCUCGAGCGUAUGGGGCUUUGUCACCCGCUCGGGAGGGACUCGGUCGGCGCUGGUCUUCCUCCAGGCGACCCUUCGGGGUUCGCCUCUUCC
rnacentral:misc_RNA from 1 species